AUGGUGAAAAGGGCCCCAUAUAUAUUAAAAUUGGGAGGAGAGAGAAGAUUAUUAGCAUGGCCCCAGCACAAGGAUACAAAUUCAUGAAGCAUUCCAUAUUUUU
ensembl:snRNA U6 U6 spliceosomal RNA